ensembl:lncRNA
AACCAUGUUCUAAGGGAUGUCUGUGGGCUCCAGUGAAAAUGAUUUCUUUCAGAUUAACAAAUUGUGAUCCCACUGCCUUCACUCUGCCUUCACUUUUUGGCUGUCCCCAUAGGAAAACACUUUUAAGAGCCCUUUUGGUUCCUGGUAGAACCUAAAAGGGUUCUCCUAAGGUGACAGUGGAAGAACCCUUUUUUGAACCCAUUUUUACUAAGAGUGUAUUCGACCUUCACUAUCAAAUGUUUUGGCAGGAGUUGUAAUGGAGGGACAAGGAUUUCAAGGUGCACUGAGGGUCAUGCUCCUUGUGUGUCUCCUUGGACUAACAAAAGAGUUUGAACUUGAGGACAAAGACUGGGACGAGUUGAGGUCUGAUGUGGCUGCGCUGCACAGAUUGAAAGGAUUACCUGAUCAAAUGACACGUAGGACCACAGGAGCAGACACCAGAGAGAUAACAAUGCACGGGACCAGGACAAAGAGAUUCAGCAAUUACAGGGCAUAUGUGGAGAAAAAGCCCAUGGCUUUAUUUGAUGGUCUUAGGGGAUGUGACCAUUUUACAACAUGCGUCAUUCAAAUGGACCAGUGUCUUGCGGUCUGAUGCCGGGCAGCUGCCAUACCAGGCUGUGAUGCAACCA